rnacentral:rRNA from 1 species
UACGAAGGGGGCUAGCGUUGUUCGGAAUUACUGGGCGUAAAGCGCGCGCAGGCGGUUCUCCAAGUCAGUGGUGAAAGCCCGGAGCUCAACUCCGGAACUGCCAUUGAAACUGUUUAGCUUGAGGAUGAGAGAGGUGAGUGGAAUUCCCAGUGUAGAGGUGAAAUUCGUAGAUAUUGGGAAGAACACCGGUGGCGAAGGCGGCUCACUGGCUCAUUACUGACGCUCAGGCGCGAUAGCGUGGGGAGCAAACAGG